rnacentral:rRNA from 1 species
GACGAACCGUACGAACGUUAUUCGGAAUUACUGGGCUUAAAGGGUGCGUAGGCUGCGCGGAAAGUUGGGUGUGAAAUCCCUCGGCUCAACCGAGGAACUGCGCCCAAAACUACCGUGCUCGAGGGAGACAGAGGUGAGCGGAACUUAGGGUGGAGCGGUGAAAUGCGUUGAUAUCCUAAGGAACACCCGUGGCGAAAGCGGCUCACUGGGUCUCUUCUGACGCUGAGGCACGAAAGCUAGGGUAGCGAACAGG